AUACGGAGGAUGCGAGCGUUAUCCGGAUUUAUUGGGUUUAAAGGGUGCGUAGGCGGUUUUUCAAGUCAGCGGUGAAACGCAAGGGCUCAACCCUUGACCUGCCGUUGAAACUGUUGGACUAGAGUGCGAUAGGCGUGGCCGGAAUGUGGUGUGUAGCGGUGAAAUGCUUAGAUAUGCCACAGAACACCGAUCGAGAAGUCAGGUCACGAGUUCGCAACUGACGCUCAUGCACGAAAGCGUGGGGAUCAAACAGGAUUAGAUACCCUGGUAGUCCACGCCGUAAACGAUGAUCACUCGUUGCCGGGGGGCGACCUUCGGUGGCCAAGCGAAAGCGAUAAGUGAUCCACCUGGGGAGUACGAUCGAAAGGUUGAAACUCAAAUGAAUUGACGGG
rnacentral:rRNA from 1 species